AGCGGAGGAAAAUAAACUAACAAGGAUUCCCCUAGUAACGGCGAGCGAAGCGGGAAGAGCUCAAAUUUGAAAGCUGGCGCCUUCGGCGUCCGCGUUGUAAUCUCGAGACGUGUUUUCCGUGCGGCGCUAUGGACAAGUCCCUUGGAACAGGGCAUCGUAGAGGGUGAAAAUCCCGUACUUGCCAUGGAUGUACCGUGCUUUGUGAUACACGCUCUAAGAGUCGAGUUGUUUGGGAUUGCAGCUCAAAAUGGGUGGUAGACUCCAUCUAAAGCUAAAUAUCGGGGAGAGACCGAUAGCGAACAAGUACCGUGAGGGAAAGAUGAAAAGCACUUUGGAAAGAGAGUUAAAAGUACGUGAAAUUGUCGAAAGGGAAGCGCUUGAAGUCAGCCAUGCUGCGCGGACUCAGCCCGGCUGAUGCCUGGUGUAUUUCCCAGCAGCAAGCCAGCAUGGAUUUGGGUCGCCGGAGAAGGGCACGAGGAAUGUGGCACUUCGUGUGUGUUAAGCCUCGUGCUGGAUACGGCGAGCUGGAUCCAGGAACGCAGUGUGCCUCUGGCGGGUCUUCGGACACCUUCACACUUAGGAUGCUGGCGUAAUGGCUUUAAGCGGCCCGUCUUGAAC
rnacentral:rRNA from 1 species